rnacentral:rRNA from 1 species
CACGUAGGGUGCAAGCGUUGUCCGGAAUCAUUGGGCGUAAAGAGCUCGUAGGCGGCUUAGUAAGUCGGGUGUGAAACCUCCAGGCUCAACCUGGAGACGCCACCCGAUACUGCUAUAGCUAGAGUCCAGUAGGGGAGUGCGGAAUUCCCGGUGUAGCGGUGAAAUGCGCAGAUAUCGGGAGGAACACCAGCGGCGAAGGCGGCACUCUGGGCUGGUACUGACGCUGAGGAGCGAAAGCGUGGGUAGCGAACAGG